AAAAAUACAUUGAAAGAGGAAAGUAAUAUAUAUGGAAUUUUUAGAGAGAAAAUCCCGUCGGCUGUAAGGAUUUUUAAAGGAAGUAUAUGUGAAGUGCCCUCUGGAGUAUUGCACCGAAAUCAGUAGGCUGCAACGGUUUUACCCGUUAUAGUAAUAAAGCAUUAUAGUGCUUGAACUUUAUUCUAAGCCUAAUUUAUAGGUAGAGUGGAAUACGAAAGAUACAACUUCGUCUCUAUU
rfam:Clostridium tetani E88, complete genome.